CCGGAUCUAAGUGAGGCUAUCUCACUGUUCAGACAGAAAAUGUGUCUUCAUCUAGAUGAAAAGGGGAUGAAGGGCUAAGAAGGCUAAAUGCUAGCGGACUCAGCGAUGACAAGAAAAAACCCACCAGUUUGUGGGCAUUUUCCGAGGACCAGUUUAAGCUUAAUUUGAACUUUAGGAUACACAGACUCCACCUAAUGCAAUACAGACCAAAACCGGAUGAAAAUAUUGUGGACUUCAUGACUAGAGCCAGAACUUUAGCAUUGAAGUGCAAAUUCACAGAAGGGGAGUUGCAUGAACGUCUCAUUGUGCUCAUCAUUGCUAGCACGCCACACAAUGCACUGAAGAACGACCUGUAUGGGAAACCUCAUGGCUACUCCCUGGCUGAUGUGUUAGAAGAAGGACGGAAAUAUUAAGCUUCAUCAGCAGGGAACCAACAGCUAAACCAGCUUGGAUUAUCCAACUCUGAAAAAGUACACGCAAUACAAAGAGGGCAAACAUGCCGGAACUGUGGCAGAAGCCACGAACCGCGUCAGUGCCCUGCAUUGAAUGAUGAAUCCUCUGCAUGUGGGGCAAAAGGGCACUGGGCAAGGUGCUGUAGAAAGAACAAACGACAAUCAAAGCAAAACUUCAGCACAAGAAGAAGUGGUGACUGGUCUGUCUAGUUACUGGACCAGAUGAAAUGAGACGGAGAGGUAAUAAAGUCUGUCGGCACGAGGACCUUGGAUUUAUCAAGUAAAGUGGCAACGGUUAUACAGAGUCAUAAGCGUGAGAAAUCGAAUAUGUCUAAGUCCCUAAUCAGCGCUGAUGGUUCGUCCGGAGCUUCGCCUCCGUGGAAGGUCUGCUUCAGAAGAAGGUUAUUUUGCCCAACAACUGCGUGUGCAGUACUGCACAACAUUUGCGUUGGUGUGGGCGAUGACCUCCCAGUGGAGGAUGGGGCCCUGGAGGGAGAUGACCCUCCUCUUGAAGGAGAAUGUGGCACGGAGUCACAGAGUGGAGCUCCUUGGCGUGCGGCACUGGCCAAUGCCAUUACCCCUCUUGAAGUGGCUCCACAGGACCACGACUACUUUGUUCUGCCUGUGACCGGACCAAGACAUACAUUUUAACAUACAUUUUUUUUAUAUUAUUUAAUCACUUUUAUCCAUUAUGAAUGUGUUUUUUGUUGUGGUUGAUCGAAUC
ensembl:lncRNA